rnacentral:lncRNA from 1 species
GACCCCUCACCCUCUCACCCACCCACCGUGAGCUACUCUCUCUCCCCCGCGCAGCAAACCGUAGCCCAUCUCUCCCCCGCACACCCCUCCUCCUCCCUUCCAGAUCGCCGUCGCCACCUCCCUCCGGCGGAGCUCCCCGCCGUACAUGGUCCGUCGGCCUCGUUCGUCGCCAGUCCCCAGUUCCCCACCACCACACCCCGCCUGCGCUCGCGUCUCCCCUCGUGUCCUCCUCCCCCUCCCAUCCCCUCCCCACCACCGCGACGGGAACUCCUCGGCGAGCCGGGCCAGAUCCGCCGGAGCAGUGGGCUCGCGUCCGUCACCCGCAUCGCUAACNNNNNNNNNNNNNNNNNNNGUCGGCAGCGUCAGAUGUGUAUAAGAGACAGCCCCCCCCCUCCCGUCUCGCAUCGGGCUCCCCGCUGCCGGAUGGAGAGAGGCAGGGCGUGAGAUCAACCGAUCGGCGCCCUCGACCGGAGCGGACCCCGUCGAGGAGCCGCGAGCAAGUGAGCGAGCUCGAUCCGACCGCGGGAGCGCCGCGCCCACCAGAUCGGGGAUGGGAUCCGGGCCAAGGGAGGAGGCCGGUGGUGAUUGUUCGGAUUCCAUUUCUUCUUCCCGCGCGCGUGCGGAUCCUCGAUGGAAUCGGCGCGGGCCGAUUCGGAGAGGGCCGGUGAGUGCUCCGCCUUCGCUGGAAUUGUUGUUCUCGUAUCCUGUGCUCCAUGUCCAGUGUGAUUUGGGUUGGAUCCUCCAGUUCAAGGCUCGACCCGCUGAUCUAGGCUGCUGCGGCGUCGUUGCAGGCGCCGGUGGUUGCUGCGGCUGCUUGGUUUAGGAUGGUUAUCAUUAAACCUCUGGGAUCGAAGUGUGGAUGGAGUGGUUACUGAUGGAAGCUCCUGUUCUAUUGGUGUGUCUUGUGUUUCUGGCAUGCAGGACAAUUUUUUGGCACUAUGCUAUUCAAUUCUGAACUUCCUAGGUAUAUGAUACUUCAUCUUGAAUUUUUUACGGUAUCAACAUGCAUACAGAUUGGUAUAUAUAAUGUUAAAUAACCUACCUUAGAUAUUUUGGGAAUUAGAAUGGCCAUUGCAAAAAUUGGUUCCCUGUUUACUGAAUUUUAAAAUUCAGAUAACUUGAUUAUGCUUUGCCUGAUGGGUUGGGUAAUACAACACGCAGCUAUGUGUAGUGUCUACAAGUGCAUGCAUCUGUGAGACCACACGCCCAGUGUUGUGAUUAGGUUCACCCCUGCCAGUAUAAAAACUAGUCGCUGCAUCUGUGAGCAGCAACGUGAGUUACUGGCAAACGCCCCCGCAUGGUGAGGCUGGCUCACUCACCAUUUUUUGAAUUUCGUUUUACUAGUUUUGACGAUGGGUAAUGUGUGCUUUGAUGAAGUUUCAUGCCUUUUUAGUUCUUAAUCCGUGUGUGGGGUCUCCUAAUCACAAAACUGUGAUGCAUCUGUGCUACUCUGUAUUUGCCCCACUGAUAAUCAGAGUGGCGAGGUGGUUGCUGUUGGAGAGGGAAGAACCAUUGGGGAUAGCAAAGUACAAGUUGGCAUUAAGGUAUGGCCUGUGCAGUCACUUUGUUCCAGUCUUAUGAGUAGAAUUUUUGUUAUAACGAAUGCAGUCUGAAGCAUGCUAAAAUGCUGAUAUGAUGAAGCUUGCAAUGUGCUUGUCUUACCUGUUUGGAUUCUAGGAUUUUACGCAUGUUGUGCCAGUUUUGUUGUAUCUGGUUCGGUCCUUUUAUAUAUUUUGCCGUGAUAAUUAGUUUUCAGUAACUCAAUAUGCUCAAAUAUUAUGAGUAGGGUUUUAGUUAUAACAAAUCCAGUCAGAAGCAUGCUAAAGUGCUCGUGGAUCCGGUUUAGUAUGUGCCAUGAACUGCUAGAUGCGUACGCGUUGAUGGGUCUGUACGCGAUUUGCUCUGGGUUCUCUAGCUCUUACACCUUUUUUUGAAUUGUUCACAAAUAUAUGAUCUUGCUAGAGGCCGGACUUGCUAUCUCUUGACAGUCGGUCGCUUGUUUGCUGCACGGCAGCAGCAACAUGCAGCACAAGCCAGUAUAUAGCAUGUUGACGAUGUAUCUAGCACUCAGUAUCAUUCUUAAGCAAAGCUACAGUUUUUUGCUUUACUUUCAGUGUUUCUUUGACCUAUGUACAGUGUCAACAAAGAUCUGAAUUACAGUGCGGUGUCCUUAAAAUUCCAGUCCAAAUUGUAGUGUAAUUUCCAUUUUGUAAUAUAUCAUAUGUAAAUUACAGUGUAAUGUGAGUGUACUUGCAGUUCUUUUUACAAUGUAUGUACACUGUAAACUCACUCCAAUUGCAGUACAUUUGGUCUCUGUAGAUUGGACAUGGAAGGGGUUUUUUUAACUGAAAUAUCACUCUAGUGUAUUUUGAAAAUUCCAAUCAAACUUUUAGUGUAUUUUUCAUUCUGGAAUUUAUUCCAUGUAAGUUUCACUGCCAUUGUACUUACACUGUAACUCACACUAAUUGCCCUAUUUUACAGUGCAAUUUUAAGUGGUUUUCACUGGAACUUAUUGUUUGUUUUACUAUCAACAUAAUUACGGUAAAUCUUCUGGUAAUCCUCUUCAUUGUAAAUCUAUUGCUAAUGAAUUGUAAAUCUACUGCAAAAUCACUGUAAAUCUGUUUUACAGUGUAAUUUUAAGUGGGUUUCACUGAAAUUUAUUGUUUAUUUUACUGUGAACAUAAUUACUGUAAACCUUAUAAUAAUUCACUGUAAAUCUACUGCAAAAUCACUGUAAAUCUACUGCAAAUCUGUUUUACAGUGUAAUUUUAAGUGGUUUCCAUUGGAAUUUAUAGUUUGUUUUACUAUAUGAACAUAAUUACUGUAAAUCUUCUACUAAUUCACUGUAAAUCUAUUGCUAAUGAAUUGUAAAUCUACUGGAAAAUCAAGUCUGUUCAUCCAACGACCCCAUGCUCCUUUCUUAUUCUGGUUUCUUAUUGUUCUUGCAAAGGGGGGAGGGCUAGUGAAAGGGAUGCAUAAGUUUUCUUGCCCUGCAAGUCCAACUCUCCUUGGUAUACUAUUUCUGGAGAUUGUUGUGAAAUUGUUGUUAUAUUGUUUAGCCCUGCCCCCAUCCUCCAAGAUCUAAUAUGCAUGUUUCCAUGCUGUAUAUUUUCUUUGCUAAACUGUUUGUUGUGGUUAAUAGUGAGGCCGUGAUAUUUGGUAUUCUGAACAUUCGUUUGAUAUGUAUGCCGCACUUUUCAACUCAUGUCAUGUUUAAUUAUUGAUGAUAUAUAUUUGCAGAUAUUUUGCCUAACUUCAAGAUGAGUGUUCUCCCUUUUAUACAAGUGAAGUCAGGCUGAAGAUAUUCAAAGAAGGGAUAACAUAUUUUUGUAUAAAAAGUUAUGUAUUGAUAGUUGGGUUAUGUGCAUGAUGUAAACUCUCGAAUUUCAUAUAUCUUCUCUCUGUUUCUAAAUGAAAUAUUUUCUAAAUGAAAUAUUGUAUAUUUCUGAAUUACAAUUGUUCCGUUUUGUUUAUAAUAGUGAUUAUGUAUGUGAUUUGAAAAUAAAAGAGGCUGGAAUUGUUUGACAAAAUACAAAAUUUAUGGUGUGGAUUCGAAUUUUGAGGUCAGAAUGACAUGUGGGACCAAUCUGACUAGUGGGACCAGUACAAAAAUAAAAUGGCCAAAAAACAAAAUCAAUAGAAAGUAAAAG